rnacentral:rRNA from 1 species
UACGUAGGGGCCUAGCGUUGUCCGGAAUUAUUGGGCGUAAAGAGCUCGUAGGCGGUUCGGCAAGUCGGAUGUGAAAUCUCCACGCUUAACGUGGAGGGGCCAUUCGAAACUGCUGUGACUCGAGUCCGGUAGGGGAGUGUGGAAUUCCCGGUGUAGCGGUGAAAUGCGCAGAUAUCGGGAGGAACACCUGUGGCGAAAGCGGCUCUCUGGACCACAACUGACGCUGAGGCGCGAAAGCUAGGGGAGCAAACAGG